UUGAGCAUCUGGUACAGGAUGUCUAUGCCUCUGGUGGCCAAGCUGUGCACACCAAAACACCGCAGUAUUUGAACAUCUCCUGUGGUCAGACACCAGGGUUGCAGCUUGAUUCAAAUCCACAAACAUGUCUUCUAUGUACCACUUUGCGAGGAAGGCAACGACAGGUCAAAGGGCAAUAGGACGUCCUUCCUUCGGGGAGGGAGGCGAGCUCUGAGCCACGUUUGCGUGUGUCAUCGGAUGCCGGGACAGGGUUGUGAAGUUUUGUGUAAAAGGCAAAGGUGGAAGUGAGCCAAAAAUACAAAAUUCCCAUAAACUGACAGCUGGUAUUUUAUGCAAAUAUGUGAAAUGUGCAUCUGAUUUGAAUCAUACAAAUGGGAUUUUUUUUUUUCAAUUUAAUCGUAUACUUAUAAUCUUGUUCAAAACAUAUCUAAGAUAUGACACAAAUGUAAUUAGAAAAACAAUCUUGAGGAAUGUGUCAUUUUUGGUGACGCCGAUGUUAAUUCUGUUCCAUUUGCACAUUGGAUUUGAACUUCUUUUUGGGUUAUUUUUAUUUUUUGGGCUGACGGUGCGGGGGUGUCACAUGAGUCGAACCAUUAAAUCGCUCUGAGUCGGAGCGCUGAGUGAAGUGGAUGACGCGCUUGGCAGGCAGAUUGUAUCACAAGGCGAGCCCUUGUCCCGCCUGUGUCAUCCCGUCUCGCUCUUUUCAUGCAGCCGCCACCCGUUCCUAAUCGGCAUGACAGGCAGACGCUGGCUGCAGAAAGACGCAGCCAAUGAAAAGGAGCCGAAAAUACUUUGUCAGAUAAUCACACUUGAGGCGGGUGCCGAUAAACCCUAUCUUGGGAUUCUACACCGCCAUUGCACAAACGGCCUUUUAAAAAAAAAAAACGGAUCCCAAGGAAAUGACUCAAUAAACAUCAUACGGUAAAGCCCCAUUCAUUGGAGGCUUAUUUACACGUGUUCAACACAGGUGUGUAACGACUAAUAUUAGUGACGUAUUGUGAAGCCGGGAGAAGAGCUGAACCUCCAGUACAGUAUGAUCAUACUUUUUAAGCACGUAUAUUUUAAGUUAAACAACCUACGAGUAUUAAAUGUAUAGAAUAUACAUGCAUUGUAAAGUCUGUGUACUUUUAAGAAGCGCCGCAUGUACUUCUGGAAUCAGCAGCGGCGUUGUUUAUAAGUGACACAGAGGACGAAGAUUCCGAUGGAUUUAAUGAUUUGGAGUGACACGGAUGGUUCGAUAAACCUGUUAUUUAUGUUAUAGUUAUUUGAAUAACUGUUAACAUGUUACGUCAGGCACGUUCUCAGUUCCUUGUUUGUGUUUAUAUAACGUUAGCAUACCGUAUCAUUUAGCCCAGGGGUGGCCAACUCGCGGCUCGCGAGCCGCAUGCGGCUCUUUGGCUGGUUUCAUGCGGCUCUUUUACGUUCAUAUCAACAUUUGUGGUUUUUUUUCGUGCGUAUUUGCUUCGCUUGAGUUCAAUCUGGUAUUUUGGUCAAACGUGCAUGCGCGAGGUGAAAUCCCGCAAAGGAGGAGGGACAAACCCAUUUGAGGAGUGUCAAUUUCGCUCUCAAAAUGACAAGGAAAAAAUGCACAGCUAAACGAAUACCGUUUUUUUCCAUGUAUAAUGCGCCCCCAUGUAUAAUACGCACCCUAAAAAUGGCAUGUUGAUGCUGGAAAAAAGCCUGUACCCAUGUAUAAUACGCACCCAAAUUUUGACUCCUACUUAAGUCGGUUAACGUAAAAUUAUUUCAGAAAAAAGAUCUUUGGGAACAACCGGAUGUUAUUCUGCUGGUCAGUAUCACUGCGCAUGCGCUAGCAAACUCGAUAGCGAAGAAAUGUUUCGGAUUUGUGUAGGGUACAUUGUGACAGCAAACAAGCAGAUGAUCGAGCAAGCGUCUGAUACGAGAGCAUUGUGUUCGUAUGGAGUGUGUUUGACGUGAACAGCAGAGAAGAAAGCGCAUCUGUAAUGGCAGCGUCCGUAUCAUACCCGGAUUUAAAAAGAAAAGAAAUUUUUUUUUUUUUUUUUUGUACCCAUGUAUAAUGCGCACCCCAGAUUUUAGGACAAUAAAUUAGUUACAUUUUGCGCAUUGUACAUGGAAAAAAACGGUAUAUGACGAUGAACACAGGGCAGAGCGAUUGGUUUUGCUGGCUUUUUAAUGAAUGGCGACUGUGACUACGGGGGCCCAUUAGGUCCAGAAAAGCUGACAAGACGCUAAACCAGGGGUGGCCAACCCAGCCAAAAUGGCAAGGAAGAAAUGCACAGAUAAACGAAUAUAUGACGAUGAACACAGGACGUUUUUAACAGAGUUAAAGUUGUUUUUUGUUGAACGCAAUGGCAAGCCAUUCUGCCUGAUAUGCCGGACAUCAUUAGCGCAUUUAAAAGCUUCAAAUGUUCAGCGCCACUUCAGCUCACUUCAUGCAAAUAUCGAUAAGGACUUUGCAAAAGGGACUGAAUUUCGUAAGCACAAGUUUGGACACUUUGAAAAGUCAGGCAGAAAAAUAGGUACAGUUUUUCAAAAAAAUUACGAAGCACUCAGAGACUGUCACACUUGCAUUGUUUCAACUGGCUUGGAACAUUGCACGGGCUAAAAAGCCAUACAAUGAAGCGGAGUUCGUUUAAAAAAUGCCUCAGUGACGUUAUUGAAAUCUUGUCUCCUGAAAACGACAAACUAAAACGAAUGGUCUGUCCCGCCACACAUAGUAAGUGAAGAAACGUAUGUUUUUGUUUGUGGAAUUUGUUGAACUGAGAGUUUGUCUGUGUGAGACAAUGCACACAAUGUUCAUUGUUGGAAAUGUAGUCUUUGGUCUGUGGUUUUAGUACUGUAGGAGUCAAUUUGUCAUUAUCAUGUUGGUGCGUGACAUAAUAAUGUCACACAAUAAAUUUGGCUGAGCAGAGGGGUGUGUGUGUGUGUGCGUGCGUGUGUUUGUGUGUGUGUGUGGGGGGGGGGGUUAGUUUGUGUGCUCAUGUGUAUGUUGUGGCUCUUUGCGGUGACGCAGUAAAAAAUGUGGCUUUUAGUCUCUAACUGGUUGGCCACCCCUGAUUUAGCCUGUUGUUACCUAUUCAUGUCUGUUCUUGGUGUUGUAUUUUGUCAAAUAAA